CAAAACGACUCUCGGCAACGGAUAUCUCGGCUCUCGCAUCGAUGAAGAACGUAGCGAAAUGCGAUACUUGGUGUGAAUUGCAGAAUCCCGUGAACCAUCGAGUCUUUGAACGCAAGUUGCGCCCGAAGCCAUUAGGCUAAGGGCACGUCUGCCUGGGUGUCAAA
rnacentral:rRNA from 2 species